rnacentral:rRNA from 1 species
AAACGGCUACGGUCGUCAACUUGGUGAUUCUGAAUAACUUUGGGCUGAUCGCACGGCUUCACGCCGGCGACGUAUCUUUCUAAGGUGUGCCCUAUCAACUGUCGACUGUGGCAUAGACGCCCACAGUGGUUUUGACGGGUAACGGGGAAUCAGGGUUCGAUUCCGGAGAGGGAGCCUGAGAAACGGCUACCACUUCUAAGGAAGGCAGCAGGCACGCAAAUUACCCACUGGUCGAAGACCGAGGUAGUGACGAAAAAUAACGAUACCGGUCUCAUCCGAGGCCCGGUAAUCGGAAUGAGUACACUUUAAAUCCUUUAACGAGGAACAAUUGGAGGGCAAGUCUAGUGCCAGCAGCCGCGGUAAUUCUAGCUCCAAUAGCGUAUAUUAAAGUUGUUGCGGUUAAAAAGCUCGUAGUUGGAUCUCGGCGGGAAGGAGGCGGUUCGAUAUUUGUCGCUACUGCCUCAUUUUCCCGUGUUGGUGACGGAGGUUCCAGGGUGCUCUUAAUCGAGUGUCCUGGGAUGCCGUCAGGUUUACUUUGAAAAAAUUAGAGUGCUCAAAGCAGGCUUUACACGCUUGAAUAUUCGUGCAUGGAAUAAUGGAAUAGGAUGUCGUUUCUAUUUUGUUGGUUUUCGGAAAUCGACAUAAUGAUUAAUAGGGACAGUUGGGGGCAUUAGUAUUCAGACGACAGAGGUGAAAUUCUUGGACCGUCUGAAGACUAACUACUGCGAAAGCAUUUGCCAAGAAUGUUUUCAUUAAUCAAGAACGAAAGUUAGAGGUUCGAAGGCGAUCAGAUACCGCCCUAGUUCUAACCAUAAACGAUGCCAGCUAGCGAUCCGCAGACGUUAUUUUCUUAGGCUCUGCGGGAAGCUUCCGGGAAACCAAAGCUUUUGGGUUCCGGGGGAAGUAUGGUUGCAAAGCU